rnacentral:rRNA from 1 species
GAUGAACGCUGGCGGUAUGCUUAACACAUGCAAGUCGAACGGACUCUUCGGAGUUGGUGGCGGACGGGUGAGUAACGCGUGAGAAACUGGCUUUGGGUUUGGGACAACCACUGGAAACGGUGGCUAAUACCGGAUGUGCCGAGAGGUGAAAGAGAAAUUGCCUGAAGAUGAGCUCGCGUCUGAUUAGCUAGUUGGUGAGGUAAAGGCUCACCGAGGCAGCGAUCAGUAGCUGGUCUGAGAGGAUGACCAGCCACACUGGGACUGAGACACGGCCCAGACUCCUACGGGAGGCAGCAGUGGGGAAUUUUCCGCAAUGGGCGAAAGCCUGACGGAGCAAUACCGCGUGAGGGAAGAAGGCUCUUGGGUUGUAAACCUCUUUUCUUAGGGAAGAACAAAAUGACGGUACCUAAGGAAUCAGCAUCGGCUAACUCCGUG